AUGAACGCUGGCGGCGUGCCUAAUACAUGCAAGUCGAGCGAACAGAUAAGGAGCUUGCUCCUUUGACGUUAGCGGCGGACGGGUGAGUAACACGUGGGUAACCUACCUAUAAGACUGGGAUAACUUCGGGAAACCGGAGCUAAUACCGGAUAAUAUUUCGAACCGCAUGGUUCGAUAGUGAAAGAUGGUUUUGCUAUCACUUAUAGAUGGACCCGCGCCGUAUUAGCUAGUUGGUAAGGUAACGGCUUACCAAGGCGACGAUACGUAGCCGACCUGAGAGGGUGAUCGGCCACACUGGAACUGAGACACGGUCCAGACUCCUACGGGAGGCAGCAGUAGGGAAUCUUCCGCAAUGGGCGAAAGCCUGACGGAGCAACGCCGCGUGAGUGAUGAAGGUCUUCGGAUCGUAAAACUCUGUUAUUAGGGAAGAACAUACGUGUAAGUAGCUGUGCACGUCUUGACGGUACCUAAUCAGAAAGCCACGGCUAACUACGUG
rnacentral:rRNA from 1 species